CCCAAAUUUGAUAUUUCCUUUGGGUGACAUCAGAAAAAUAACUUCCAUCAUUCGCAUGUCAGGUUCCUCACUAUAUCAAAUAAGGCAGUGAAACUACAUGGCCUCUGGCCUCUGAGGUCCUUUCCAGGUCUAAGUGGAUGAUCUGUGACCCUAAGUGUCUAGGGGAUCUAUUCAGAGUAAAUGCCGAGCCAUUCACGUUUGCAAUAGAAUGUAUUAACACAGGGGCAGAAGUGUUCUAAAGGUCAUUAAAGAAAGUGAUGGGCAGAAGCAAGCAAGGGGAAGAUUAAAUUGGAGAGAGCAAUGAACUGAUAAAGAAAGUGGGCCAAGGGGAGGAGAUCCAUAGCAAGUUGGCAAUUCUGUAUUACAGGAGGCACGGAGGGAAAUGGCAUCACAAGACCACAGAUUGCAAGAUGGAAGUGACCUCCGGGGCCAUCAAGUGCAACCACCUCAUUUUACAGUUGAGCAAACAAAGAAACACAGAGGUUGAGUCUUUUCCACAAGGUCACACAGAUUCAAAUGACCCAAAUAUUUAAGCCUCUGGUGAAGACAUUUAAACUGCCUUGAAUUAAAAUACUAAAAGAGAGAUUGAGUUGUUAGAGAAAGAAGUCUGUGGCUGAAGAAGUGGGGACUCAACUGAAGACCAAUAAUUUACCAAGGGAGAAAGUGAUCACAAAGGAUGCCAUCCAAGGAAAAGAUCCACAACAAUGGCAACAAAAUGGC
rnacentral:lncRNA from 1 species